CAAAAUAUCUUCUAGUAGUGAGGAUCGAGGUAAAAGUCAUCGAGGUGGUCGGGAUUCUCGAUUGCCUCCUCCUCGAUUUAGAUCUAAGGAGAGUCCUCAGGUCACCAUCGAGGUCGCUUCCUCAUCAGGGCAUCGGGGUCCCGAAUCGUGCAGGUCGGAAGGUCUUGUGGAGGAAUUCAAAGACUUCUUUGGUCCUGACAGUGAGUAGUCAUCUAUCAUUGAGGCCGACCUUCAUAGGUUUCAAUCUUAAUACUCCAUUUCUUCCACUU
rnacentral:lncRNA from 1 species